UAGCCAGACGCGACGGCUCGUACUUGGGGAACGACAUCUUGGCAAUCCGGCACACAGCUGUGCGCCUGCGCAACUCCGAGGCCCGCCCCCUUUAUUCUGAUCUUCAUCCUGAGGAAGUGCGCUUGCGCAUUAGCGGAAGCUCUAAACAGAAGCAGCCGACCCCAGAAAAUCAAUUUAGUGGGAGCCAGUUUGCGAGUGACCACGUCUCUGAAUUGUGAGCUGACCUAGGACCAACCACGGGAAUAUGGGUUUGUCUAUAUUCAUCAAGCAAAAGGGAAUGACCAACAGCAGGAACUUCUUCACCACGUCCUGGACACAGCACCUGCUUUUCCAAAUCCGUUACAAAGCCCGAAAUGUCUCCACUCUGAACAAUAUGAGACUUUGAGUGACCGUGGCAGGCCUGGGAUGAGUCUCUGCAGUGAUUCACGCUAGAGAGCACCCGGAGAGGGUAUGCAGAACCAGCCUUGGAUCUUACAAACAAAGGACUAUUUGUAGCCACGUCAUUCCCUGCUUACAACUGAUUCCUUCAAACCUAGUCUCUCGU